rfam:Fungal sp. No.11243 DNA, scaffold: sccafold0003.
GCUUCCUUAGCUCAGUCGGUAGAGCGUCAGUCUCAUAAUCUGGAGGUCGACGGUUCGAACCCGCCAGGGAGCA